AACGAACGCUGGCGGCAUGCCUAACACAUGCAAGUCGAACGAGAUCUUCGGGUCUAGUGGCGCACGGGUGCGUAACGCGUGGGAGUCUACCCUUUGGUUCGGAAUAACAGUUGGAAACGACUGCUAAUACCGGAUGAUGACGAAAGUCCAAAGAUUUAUCGCCAGAGGAUGAGCCCGCGUAGGAUUAGCUAGUUGGUGUGGUAAAGGCGCACCAAGGCGACGAUCCUUAGCUGGUCUGAGAGGAUGAUCAGCCACACUGGGACUGAGACACGGCCCAGACUCCUACGGGAGGCAGCAGUGGGGAAUAUUGGACUAUGGGCGAAAGCCUGAUCCAGCAAUGCCGCGUGAGUGAUGAAGGCCUUAGGGUUGUAAAGCUCUUUUACCCGGGAUGAUAAUGACAGUACCGGGAGAAUAAGCUCCGGCUAACUCCGUGCCAGCCGCCGCCGUAA
rnacentral:rRNA from 1 species